rnacentral:rRNA from 1 species
UACGUAGGUGACAAGCGUUGUCCGGAUUUACUGGGCGUAAAGAGCGCGCAGGCGGUCGUUCAAGUCGAGUGUGAAAGCCCCCGGCUCAACUGGGGAGGGUCACUCGAUACUGAUCGACUCGAAGGCAGGAGAGGGAAGUGGAAUUCCCGGUGUAGUGGUGAAAUGCGUAGAUAUCGGGAGGAACACCAGUGGCGAAGGCGACUACCUGGCCUGUUCUUGACGCUGAGGCGCGAAAGCUAGGGGAGCAAACGGGG